rnacentral:rRNA from 1 species
UACGGGGGGAGCAAGCGUUGUUCGGAUUUACUGGGCGUAAAGGGCGCGUAGGCGGCCAGCACAAGUCAGUUGUGAAAUCUCCGGGCUUAACUCGGAAAGGUCAACUGAUACUGUGCGGCUAGAGUGCAGAAGGGGCAACUGGAAUUCUCGGUGUAGCGGUGAAAUGCGUAGAUAUCAGGAGGAACACCGGCGGUGUAGACGGCUUUCUGGACCGUAGCUGACGCUGAGACACGAAAGCGUGGGUAGCAAACAGG